rnacentral:tRNA from 1 species
GAGGGUGUAGCUCAGUGGCGGAGCAUGUGCUUAGCACGCAUGUGGUCUGGGCUCAAUCCCCAGUAACUUCG